GUAGGGUGCUAGCGUUGUUCGGAAUCAUUGGGCGUAAAGCGCGUGUAGGCGGUUAGUUAAGUCAGAUGUGAAAUCCCUGGGCUCAACCGAGGAAGUGCAUUUGAAACUAAUUAGCUAGAGAGUGGUAGAGGAAGGUGGAAUUCCGUGUGUAGAGGUGAAAUUCGUAGAUAUACGGAGGAAUACCGGUGGCGAAGGCGGCCUUCUGGACCAUUUCUGACGCUGAGACGCGAAAGCGUGGGGAGCAAACAGGAUUAGAUACCCUGGUAGUCCACGCCGUAAACGAUGGGUACUAGAUGUUGCGGGAAUUGACCCCUGCAGUGUCGACGCUAACGCAUUAAGUACCCCGCCUGGGAAGUACGGCCGCAA
rnacentral:rRNA from 1 species